GGCACGGUACCAGAGUGGUCUAAUGGCGAGGUCUGCAAAACCUCCGUUCGUGGGUUCGAAUCCCAUCCGUGCCUCCA
rnacentral:tRNA from 1 species